rnacentral:rRNA from 1 species
CCUACGGGUGAUAGCAGUGGGGAAUAUUGGGCAAUGGGCGCAAGCCUGACCCAGCAACGCCGCGUGAAGGAAGAAGGCUUUCGGGUUGUAAACUUCUUUUCUCAGGGACGAAGCAAGUGACGGUACCUGAGGAAUAAGCCACGGCUAACUACGUGCCAGCAGCCGCGGUAAUACGUAGGUGGCAAGCGUUAUCCGGAUUUACUGGGUGUAAAGGGAGCGCAGGCGGGAAGCCAAGUCAGCUGUGAAAACUACGGGCUUAACUUGUAGACUGCAGUUGAAACUGGUUUUCUUGAGUGAAGUAGAGGUUGGCGGAAUUCCGAGUGUAGCGGUGAAAUGCGUAGAUAUUCGGAGGAACACCGGUGGCGAAGGCGGCCAACUGGGCUUUAACUGACGCUGAGGCUCGAAAGUGUGGGGAGCAAACAGGAUUAGAUACCCCAGUAGUC